AUGAGAGGGUUGGGUCUUCUCCUGUGCCUGGUGACAGCUCCCCAGUGUGUCCUAUCCCAGGUGCAGCUACAGGAGUCAGGACUUGGCCUGGUGAAGCCUUCAGUGACCCUGUCCCUCACCUGCACUGUCUCUGGUUACUCCAUAACCAGUGGUUAUGACUGGAGCUGGAUCUGCCAGCCCCCAGGGAAGAGCCUGGAGUGCAUGGGGUACAUAACUUAUAGUAGAGGCACUUACUACAGCCCAUCCCUCAAGAGCUGCAUCUCCAUAUCCAGAGACACUUCCAAGAACCAGUUCUCCCUGCAGCUGAGUUCUGUGACCACAGAGAACACAGCUUUGUAUUACUGUGCAAGAGGCACAGUGAGGGGAUUUCAGUGUGACCCAGACACAAACCUCCCUGCAAGUGCACUCUGGGUCAGCAGGGGGCGCUCAGCUCACAGCCAGCUUAGUUUCAGUCCCAAUGUUAGGGGCAGACUCACAUGA